rnacentral:rRNA from 1 species
UACGAAGGGUGCAAGCGUUGUUCGGAAUCAUUGGGCGUAAAGCGCGCGCAGGCGGAUUAGCAAGUCAGAUGUGAAAUCUCGGGGCUCAACCUCGAAACUGCGUCUGAAACUGUUAGUCUAGAGUGUCGGAGGGGGUAGGGGAAUUUCACGUGUAGGGGUAAAAUCCGUAGAGAUGUGAAGGAACACCGGGGGCGAAGGCGCCUACCUGGACGACUACUGACGCUGAGGCGCGAAAGCGUGGGGAGCAAACAGG